rnacentral:rRNA from 1 species
UACGAAGGGGGCUAGCGUUGCUCGGAUUGACUGGGCGUAAAGGGCGCGUAGGCGGAUAGUACAGUCAGGCGUGAAAUUCCUGGGCUCAACCCGGGGGCUGCGUUUGAUACGUAUUGUCUGGAGUUCGGAAGAGGGUCGUGGAAUUCCCAGUGUAGAGGUGAAAUUCGUAGAUAUUGGGAAGAACACCGGUGGCGAAGGCGGCGACCUGGUCCGAUACUGACGCUGAGGCGCGAAAGCGUGGGGAGCAAACAGG